UUCAAGUAGCCACAGGCUAGUGCUGGCCUUCAAAUGUUAAGGCCGAUUCCAGACCUAUGAACAUCAUCUCCAGGACUUGCUCUAGAUGUUUCAAAAGAAUAGGGUCAGUCUACAUAUAAAGGAUGGAAGACAAUUUUGGCUGAAGACAGAAUAUAAAUGUUACCAGCUUUGACAAUGUAAAAGUAAAAGACAGAUGAGAAAAGCUGGGAGAUGGAAAAUGGAAAAAGGACAGCAAGUAGGAGUGAGUGAUCAAAGGAGGCCAUGCUUCUAGGGAAGGAUGGAGAUGACUACGUGGUGGGUUUUAUGUGACGAAGAGAGUGGGAAACGUUUGGGACCAACUUCCUCUUGUCCACUCACCUAUCUUCCAGCCACCACUGAACACCAAACCGUCAUGGACCUUGACCAAGGUUUGUCUUUCAGCACCCUUUCCCUGUCAGCAUACUCCUUAUCUGGGACCCCGGCAAACAGCCCAGGCUGAACAGAAAGGACGACAGAUUCCAGAACUUGAGUGUGGACCCGAGUUAUCCCACACGUUAGCUGUGUGGCCUGGAGAAGGCUUUCUCGUGUCCUUGCAAACGCUGUCCUCAUCUGUGACACGGGAGGAGCACCUGUUCAACCACCAUACAGGGUGUGCCCCGAUGAAAUAACAUUCUCGAAAACGCUGUGCAAACUGCAAA